GCCCCGCGAGCUGGCCGGGCGGAAAGCCAGGUCGGUUCUUGGUCUUUGUUGACCUUUUCCUACUGGCUUCAAAAUAACCUUGGCGCACUUUCUUCUCGGCCCUAGACUCCUCCCGGCGCCCUUCAAUUCGAUUUCUGCUGCUGCUCCCGGAGUUGGCCAAGGCUACGAGAGAAAUUCAACCUUCCUCUCCUUUUUCCCAACAACCGGGUUCUAGCAUACUUGACUCAUUCAUUAUUUAGGAAACUGAGAAAAUGGGUGGCUGACUUGGUCCUCUACAGAGGGGGAAGAGAAAUUUUUUUUGAUAAAUUUAGCGAUACUGUGGAAGAUUCUGGAAAGGGGAAAAUAGUCUGAAUUUGUAAUGACUCCGAAGCAAACAAUUUUAUUUUCUUUAUGAAGUUUGAUUCUCUUUUAGACAUGUAAGUUAUCAGGAGCUGACAGGCAGUUUAACACCAAAAGGAAAUCCUCAUGGGGCCACCCAAACGCCACACCCAUUCCUGAGAACUGGAUGUUCUGCCCAAAGAACAGGUUGGCCACACACUUACAGCAGUCCUCCUGUCUGUCUACCGGGUGGAAUUAGAGGCAAGCAUCACUACACCUAGCGUGGUGCUUGAUUUGUAAAGUUAUGUGUGUGCAUAAAUUUAUGUGUUUCGUCGGCACUGAGAAGUCCACAGAAGUCAGAAGAGGAUGUGGGUGCUGGGAACUGUACCAGGGUCUUGUGCAAGCUCACGUAGUUACGAGGACCAGGCAGAAUAUAUGAGCAAGAAGACACCUGCGAGUUUUGUAAGACAGAUUUUAAUUUCCUGGUCAGGCGAUGGCAUUGAAUACAGCUAAGAUCCCAAGAUCAGAUGUGGUGAAAUCUACGGAUCUUGUUGAGCCACUCUUCAGCACAUGAAGGGAAUGACCUUCUCCUUCUUUAGGAAGGAGGCUUCCAA